CAGACCUGGAAGCUGCAUGACCAGGCUUGAGGCAGGCAGCAGCUGGGGUUUGGGAGGACACAGGCACGUGGACAGCCGCCUGUGGGUGCCUUGCUGCAGAUGAGGCAGCCAUGAGAAACAGUUUGUCUUUCCAGCCGCCUCCUCCACCCUUUGCUACAGAGCCUCCAUGCCACAGCACGGUGCCAGCUGCAGAAAGAUUGAUUCAUAGGACCCAACAACUUCCUGGCAAGCAGUAGGAAUUCCCAAACUACUGGUGGACUAUUUAUUGACUGAACUGGCCAUCGAUAAGGAAAUAUUAUGAAGAUGCCAACACACUACCUGGAUGUCUCGGCUUGCAUCUGUUCAUGUGCAGUCUUGGUUCCUGGGCUGCCCACUAUGCGUGCUUUAUCAUAUUGCUGUGGUGGCUUUGUUGACAUCUGGCUCAGUGGCUAACUCAUCUGCGUCACUUGGGACUGUGCUGAGGCAGUCCUGCACACACUCUGCUAUGAGUGGCCCCUGCCUGCGCUAUGUAGUUCCCUACACUUCAUUAUCAUCAUACUGUGAUGCCACCCCCCAUCUGCCCCGCUCGCUCUUCAGCACAAUUAUAGGGAAUGCAGGG